GACGAACGCUGGCGGCGUGCUUAACACAUGCAAGUCGAACGAAGUGGCGAACGGGUGAGUAACGCGUAAUCAACCUGCCCUUCAGAGGGGGACAACAGUUGGAAACGACUGCUAAUACCGCAUACUGAAGGAGGGGAUUGCGUUUGAUUAGCUAGUUGGAGGGGUAACGGCCCACCAAGGCGAAGGUCAGUAGGCGUGCUUGGGGGGAUAACGGCCACAAUUGGACUGAGACACGGCCCAGACUCCUACGGGAGGCAGCAGUGGGGAAUCUUCCGCAAUGGAGGAAAGUCUGACGGAGGCACGCCGCGUGAGUGAUGGCGGCCUUCGGGUUGUAAAGCUCUGUUAAUCGGGACGCGGUACCGGAAUAGAAAGCCACGGCUAACUACGUGCCAGCAGCCGCGGUAAUUC
rnacentral:rRNA from 1 species